GCUCCUGUGGGCUAGUUAUUAAAGCGUUCGCCUCGGAUGCGAGAGGUCUCGGGUUCGAAACCCGGCUGAGUCA